rnacentral:misc_RNA from 1 species
GAUGAAGAACGCAGCGAAAUGGGAUACGUAAUGUGAAUUGCAGAAUUCAGUGAAUCAUCGAAUCUUUGAACGCAUAUUGCGCUCUUUGGUAUUCCGAAGAGCAUGCUUGUUUGAGUAUCAGUAAACACCUCAACCUCUUCUUGAUUUUUCAAAAGGAGGGUGGACUUGAGCUAUCCCAACAACCUUUACCGGUCGGCGGGCGGCUUGAAAUGCAGGUGCAGCUGGACUUUUAUCUGAGCUAAAAGCAUAUCUAUUUAGUCCUCGUCAAACAGGAUUAUUACUUUUGCUGCAGCUAACAUAAAGGAUAAUUGUCCUCUUUGCUGACUGAUGCAGGAUUUUACGACACUUUAUGUGUUGUUCAACUCGAUCUCAAAUCAAGUAAGACUACCCGCUGAACUUAAGCAUAUCAAUAAGCGGAGGA